AUCAACGCAGGCAGUCGCGCGACGCUCUCAUUCAUGCAGCCAGUCGCGCGACACAAAGCAACCGCGAGCGCCGCCACCGGGGAUGGCCCAAGCGCUGUCGCACCCCCUGGCCCCUCACCGCGGUCCUCCUUCCAUCGCCCUGCCUCCCCCCGCAUCCCCCGCUGUUCCUUCAUCCACAAUCCCUCUCACGGCUCUGCAAUCCCACCCAGCCCCAAUCCCCACUGCCCUCGCCGCCACCCCCGAGGACUCCCCAAGCAACCGACCUUCACCAAGUGCUUCGACUAUGCUCCUCAGCGCCCCGAUCCGGAGCCUCCGAGCCUCGAUCCCUCCUCCUCAGCGCCGUCGGUGCCCCGCAUGCUCCCGUUCUCCAGUGCCGGCCAUGGUGCCCCCCGGUCGUAGCAGCCUGCGUCGGAUAAGCCUCUGGAAGAGAACCGGUUCAUCCGGCGCAGCGAGGCGGCGAAACAGGCUGCCGCCGAGGCCGAGCGGCCCUCGGCUCCCAGCACGCAGCAACCGAAGUUGUCGCCAUAGGAAGCCGUGAAACGUGCGGUUGAACUCCUGGGCGGCGGGGGCCGCAGCGGCGAAGAUGGCAGAGGGCGUGGUGGCGGGGGUCGCGGCUCCCAUGGUCGUGGCUUGGGCCGUGGCAGGGGACCGCGGGGACCACGAGUCUGUUGAUGUGGAAGACGACCGGGAAGCGAUCUACUUGGGGGACAGCUGAUGGCGAUAGGCUAGAACAGCGUCUCAGCAAGGACAAGGUGAAGAUUCUGGAGCAGGCGUUCAUGGAGGCAGCAGAUAAUGCGCUGCCACAUCCAAUGGAGGAUGCUUACCUCGAGGCUUGUCACACAAACAACAUGGUUUGAUUGUCUUGAUGAAUGUUUGAUUGUCUUAAUUAUCUGCCAUUAUCAUGGUAUUAUUCGUCUUCAGUACAAUGAAUGUUUGAUUGUCUUGAUGAAUGUUUAGUUUUGAUCUUUGAUUUCAAAUAUAUUUUAUGGACUAUCUAUAUGUCGGUUCUCUAUACAAGUAUUGUUGGGAUUCUUUAUACUGAUACUCAGUUGUAUAUAUGUUUCUCAGGAAUGGAAAAUGUGCAUAUAUGGUGCUGGUUGUAGUGAGAUUAUCCUCGUCCAAGUUAGGGGAUCUGCCAUGAACUAGACAAGAUUAGAAGUUUAAAGAGGCCUUACAUCAAGAGAGUACAAGAUCGCCAUAAGGAAGUACAAGUCUUUGAGGAAAGUGGCCUUAUGAGAAGCUUGAGAAAAUCAACUUGAAAGUGACCUUCAUGAUGAUGUAUGACCAUUUUCUUAUUUUAGCAAGACACAUUGCAGACGCAGCCCUGUUUUGCCCUGCUUUCUAUCACUAAUUUAAAUUGUUCUUCUUUCUUAUCUUGUGCAGACAGUAAAUUGUCUCAAACGCAACGCUAUUGAAAUGGAGGGAUACAUUCGCCCUCCUGACGUAGUAAUAAUUGUGUCGCAGUAUAUACCUUGCUCUGAUGUUAGUUUUUUGUUUUAAUCAAUAAUUAACAGUAGACAAGCUUUUAUGUUAUAUCAUUCAUUAGCAUACAUACUCAUUCUUUUAUUAUAUUUAUAUUUCCAGGACCAGCAUUCUGAUGGUGUUGCAGAUGAUCAUCCCAACGAUUCCUUAUUCUCUCCAACAUACCAUCAUCACAAGGUUCGUGAUUUGAAUAAAUAACCUAACGAAAGGUAUAAAGAUAAUAAAAUUGUCUGAUUUGUUGCCCUGUAUAUUUGUUGCCCACAUCGUAGUUAAAUUGUUUACCUUUGUUGAAAUUAGUUCUUCUAGGCAGCGAUUUUUGUAUAGCCUUGAUCUUGUGAGAUAUUGUAUGAGACACUAAACAUCUUAAACAAAAUGCUUCCAAUUAAAUAUCAAUCGGUGAUUAUUUCUAUUAUGCACCAUUGUAUAAGAGUUGUUUAACAUAAGGCAUAUUA